CUGUUUUUACUCGACGUCUCCAGAAUCUUCCGAAAAUACGCGUCAGCGAUGUUCAUCGCAUUGUUGAUGCCUGGUCCCCUGCUCCGACAAGCAAGAGGGACAAGGGCUUUAAACUCUACAUAUCGAGUUAUCUGCACAACUACAAGGGAGCACACACUCUACAAAGGCCUGACUGGAGAUUUGCCUGAUCUAUCCGUCCUUCAGAUGACAGCGGCUCGCUUCAAGAGCAGGUGAAGCAAGUUGGGACAAUGUUGAAGACAUUUGCUCACACUGGGCAAUCAGGUGCAGAUCAAACCCUAAUGCUGCGACGUCUUGGGAGUUUGGCGAUGUUGUGCGUAGCAUGGACGACAAAAUGCUAUGCUGCAACGUUUCAGUGCCAAUGUGUCUGUUGGAGAGUUAUCCCUGACAGGGGAUCUGUUACUCCCCCCUAGACACCCAGGAACAUUUGGCGUUGCUUGACAACAGUUUGAGGCAGGAUAAAG